GUAGGGAAUAUUGCGCAAUGGACGCAAGUCUGACGCAGCAACGCCGCGUGAGUGAAGAAGGCCUUCGGGUUGUAAAGCUCUGUCAUACGGGACGAACAACCGGCAGGUGAAUAGCCUGUCGGUCUGACGGUACCGUAGGAGGAAGCACCGGCUAACUCUGUGCCAGCAGCCGCGGUAAUACAGAGGGUGCAAGCGUUGCUCGGAAUUAUUGGGCGUAAAGGGUAGGUAGGUUGUCUCAUUUGUCCGAUGUGAAAUCCUUGGGCUUAACCCAAGAAGUGCAUUGGAAACGGUGGGACUGGAGUCUCGGAGAGGGUCGUGGAAUUCCCGGUGUAGCGGUGAAAUGCGUAGAGAUCGGGAGGAACACCAGUGGCGAAGGCGGCGACCUGGACGAGCACUGACACUCAACUACGAAAGCGUGGGGAGCAAACAGGAUUAGAAACCCUUGUAGUCC
rnacentral:rRNA from 1 species